AAAUAAAAUAUUGUAGUCAUUAAUGGUGUGUUUGAAUUGAAGAGAUACCAGGAGAUAGAGGUGAAGUGCAGUACUUUUAUUCUUUAAGAAUAUAGUCUUUAGCCAGGUGCAGUGGUGUGUGCCUGUAGUCUCAGCUAUUUGAGAGGCUGAGGUGAGAGGAUCACUUGAGUUCAGGAGUUCAAGACCAGCCUGGGCAACAUAGCAAGUCCCUGGCUCAAAAAAAAAAAAGUUUCCCAUUCAUAUUAACUCCAUCUUUUAAAAAUGUCAUGAUUACAAAGUGAAAAGAUUUGGCUUUCUUAGAGGCUCAAUCACAGAGGUGAAAGUGACCUUGGAAAUCAUAUACUCUAUCCCCAUGUUACACAGAUUAGAAAAACUGAGGUUAUGGCACUGACUUAGGCACCCCCAGCAAGGCAACCCAGGGACUACAACUGGCAAUCCCAACUCCUGGGCUAGGGCUUUUUCUACCUUUUUUUGCAUUGGCCUCUUAAAGAGGCAAUGAAUACUAAUUCCUGGCAUCAGAAAAAAAAAA
rnacentral:lncRNA from 10 species